rnacentral:rRNA from 1 species
GUCCUACGGGAGGCAGCAGUGGGGAAUAUUGCACAAUGGGGGAAACCCUGAUGCAGCAACGCCGCGUGAAGGAAGACGGUUUUCGGAUUGUAAACUUCUGUUCUUAGUGAAGAAGAAUGACGGUAUCUAACGAAUAAGCACCGGCUAACUCCGUGCCAGCAGCCGCGGUAAUACGGAGGGUGCAAGCGUUACUCGGAAUCACUGGGCGUAAAGAGCGCGUAGGCGGGAUAGCAAGUCAGAUGUGAAAUCCUAUGGCUUAACCAUAGAACUGCAUUUGAAACUGUUAUUUUAGAGUAUGGGAGAGG